GAUGAACGCUAGCUACAGGCUUCCUAAAGGCAAGCCGAGGGGCAGCAGGCCGGGGGCUUGCAACCGACAAUGGCGACCGGCGCACGGGUGAGUAACGCUUAUCCAACCUACCCUUGUCCAUCGAAUAACCCGUCAAAAGGCGGCCUAACACGAUAUGCGGUUCACCGCAGGCAUCUAACGUGAACAAAAUGUGAAGGAAAAGGAUGGGGAUGCGUCUGAUUAGCUUGUUGGCGGGGUAACGGCCCACCAAGGCAACAAUCAGUAGGGGUUCUGAAAGGAAGGUCCCCCACAUUGAAACUGAAACACGGUCCAAACUCCUACGGGAGGCAGCAGUGAGGAAUAUUGGUCAAUGGACAAGAGUCUGAACCAGCCAAGUAGCGUGCAGGAUGACGGCCCUAUGGGUUGUAAACUGCUUUUAUAGGGGGAUAAAGUGUGCCACGUGUGGCAUAUUGCAGGUACCCUAUGAAUAAGGACCGGCUAAUUCCGUG
rnacentral:rRNA from 1 species